UGAAAUUGUGAUUAUUAUACUUUUUUUCUCUUUCCAAAUGCAGUGUUUUUGGUGCAGUGAAGAAAAGGCUUGCAAAAAAAUUUGUUUUCUAAAUUCUCAGUGUCCUGUCAGUUGUUCAUUUUGGUUAAACUGUCAAGUUGACAUGUUUGGAUUCCUGAUGCUUCUACUCCUUGCGGUCAUGGUUAUAGCGUUCAUUUGUCAAUGCUGCAUUUAUCAACAUUACCUACAGAGUGUAUAAUGAAUAGAUAACUGAAAAGCUGGAUUGCCCAGAUAGAGAAGAAGGAAGUUUCUUCAAUGGUAAGCUUUCAAAUUAUAUUGCAUGAAUUUUCUGCAUGACUUCCCUCCCUUC
rnacentral:lncRNA from 1 species